rnacentral:rRNA from 1 species
UACGUAGGGGGCAAGCGUUGUCCGGAUUCAUUGGGCGUAAAGAGCUCGUAGGCGGUUCGGCAAGUCGGGUGUGAAAACUCCAGGCUCAACCUGGAGACGCCACCCGAUACUGCUGUGACUUGAGUCCGGUAGGGGACCACGGAAUUCCUGGUGUAGCGGUGAAAUGCGCAGAUAUCUGGAAGAACAUCAAAGGCGAAGGCAGCGUCCUGGCAAGCAACUGACGCUCAUGUGCGAAAGCUAGGGGAGCGAACGGG